rnacentral:misc_RNA from 1 species
GCCGUACCGGAAGGUGCGGCUGGAAUACCUCCUUUUAGAGAUGGUAUUAAACCGUUUCUGUUGUUUCCAAAUACUUUCAAUUUUAUUAGCACACAAGCUCUUUAAAAGUACAAUAGUACCCGAACAGACCCGUAGCUCAGUUGGUUAGAGCGCUACACUGAUAAUGUAGAGGUCACCAGUUCAACUCUGGUCGGGUCUACUAUACAACUGCUGAAAGCUGAAUGCUUAGCAUUGAGCUAGAUGCCUCACUUGGGGGAUUAGCUCAGCUGGCUAGAGCACCUGCCCUUGCACGCAGGGGGUCAACGGUUCGAAUCCGUUAUCCUCCACAAAUUAUGGUUAGACGUUAAGGUUUAAUCACUGUUCUUUCAAAUAGAUGUAAGGAUUUACAAAGUGUAAAUGCCAGGGAGAUCGAAUCUUCAAACAUCAGCUAGAGACUUAGAAGAAGUAUGUAAAUACUACUGAAUGAGUUUGGCUUUUUGACAUAUUGGGAUUACAAAAUCAAAAAAGUAGAAUAGUACUGUACGUUAUAUGCAAGACGUAUGGUGAAAAUUUUUUAAAGCGAAUAAGGGCGCAUGGUGGAUGCCUAGGGUCUGAGAGGCGACGAAGGACGUGGUAAGCUGCGAUAAGCUACGGGGAGAUGCACACGAUCGAUAUAUCCGUAGAUUU